rnacentral:lncRNA from 1 species
AAGCCAGCACGGGCACCAAGCACCAACUGGGUCUCUGUUACCUCAGUCUGCAUGAAGUCACACCUGCCUGUGACCACGUCCUGGAGAGAAGCUCAAGACACAGGCUUGGAAGGACAGGGGUCUGGACCCAGCAAAGGGGGGCGGGCAGGGCUGGGGACCAGGUGCUGUGGGGAUUGUGUCUCAUGUGCACCACGGCCCCCAGCUCACAAAGGGUCCUGUCCCUCCCUUUGUGGGUCUGGGCCAUUCACUGUCAAUGCACACAGGGCCUGUGGGUGCCAGCAGACUUCCCCCCUCACCUGACAGUUUGGGGUCCAUGAUGGAGCCUGGAGCAGCCUCGUCACGCUGGGAGGGUGGGAAUAGCCUGCCCUUCCAGAAGGGUGUGCUGCCCGUGAGGCCUGGCUGCGGGAGCCCACUCGAUUUGUCACCCUAGCAGUGCAUGGAGGACCCUUCAAAGUCUACGUCAGGGCACAGGCACCCACAGAGCUUCCCCGGGGGUUAAGGCCAGACUUCUGGUGGGGAUUUCUAUAAACGGACGGCAGAGCCCGGGAUUUAGUGUCCUCACCCUUCACCCUCAUAUCGUGAACCCGAGGACUCGGUGGGGUUUGGCUUUACAGAGCACGCCUGGGAGCGUCUCACCAGCAGGAUGUGUGGUGGACCCGUCUGGUCUGUGCCCGGCAGUCGGGGCCCUCCCGCACCUCUCAGAUCCCACAAAUACUCUGCCCUGCAGGCUUCGUCUCCCUCAGAACAUUCGUUGAGAGAACUCGGCGUCGACCUUGCUCGGGAGGAGGAAGUGCCCUCCAUCUCCAGCCCAUGUUUGAGGAAUCUCAACAGAUGGGGACGAGCUGCCUUGUUGUCUCAUCCCAUUCAGAGGGGCCCGUGGUCCCAGACCAAGCAGAGACUUCCUCUCAGGCUGCUGCUGGAGAACACAGAGCUUUCUGGAGGCUGUGCCCUGCAGAUUCAUUUCGGAUUUGACAUUUAAAAGAAUGUUCCACCCACGGCUUUUCUCUGAGAGAUGAGAGUAUCUGUGAAGUUAAUAUUCAGGUAGAGAAAUGGUAGCUUGGAGAAAAUCACCGUGUCUGAAAUGCUGUGCCCCGGGACUUGUUUCUUAGGAGAACUGCAAGAACAAAAGGGUAAAAUGCAAAAUUCUUCUCUGACAUCCUCACUGCCCAGGAGGUCCCAGCUCAGACCCGGUGGGAGUCCUUUCCCUGCCGCCCCUGCUGCCUAGGACUGGGGGGGUCACACAGGGCCCAGAGAAGGGGCUCCCCAGAGUGAGCUCGGGUGGGAAAAGCUGUGGUUUUAUUUUCACAUUGAAGUGUUGCAUUUCCUUUGAUUAUUGAACGGAAGCAACAAAUUACAGUUUUAGCAGGACUCGGGAUGUCAUCACCGAUGGAAUCCGAGAUGUUUUAUACCCCGCUAUUUCUGUGUGGAAUCUGGAAAUCCAGCCCCUGCUCCUCUCUGCUCCGAAACUGCAAUGGUUAUUAGACCUGCCACUGGAUCUUACUACAAAUGCAUCAGUAAAGAAGCACAUACAUUGCUUUUCUGCAAUUAUAAUUCAGUACCCAU